UACGAAGGGUGCAAGCGUUAAUCGGAAUUACUGGGCGUAAAGGGUGCGUAGGCGGUUGUUUAAGUCUGUCGUGAAAUCCCCGGGCUUAACCUGGGAACUGCAUUUGUGACUGCAUCGCUGGAGUGCGGCAGAGGGGGAUGGAAUUCCGCGUGUAGCAGUGAAAUGCGUAGAUAUGCGGAGGAACACCGAUGGCGAAGGCAAUCCCCUGGGCCGAUACUGACGCUGAGGAGCGAAAGCGUGGGGAGCGAACAGG
rnacentral:rRNA from 1 species